rnacentral:rRNA from 1 species
AACAGGAUUAGAUACCCUGGUAGUCCACGCUGUAAACGAUGUCGACUUGGAGGUUGUGCCCUUGAGGCGUGGCUUCCGGAGCUAACGCGUUAAGUCGACCGCCUGGGGAGUACGGCCGCAAGGUUAAAACUCAAAUGAAUUGACGGGGGCCCGCACAAGCGGUGGAGCAUGUGGUUUAAUUCGAUGCAACGCGAAGAACCUUACCUACUCUUGACGUCCAGAGAAUUUGCUAGAGAUAGCUUAGUGCCUUCGGGAACUCUGAGACAGGUGCUGCAUGGCUGUCGUCAGCUCGUGUUGUGAAAUGUUGGGUUAAGUCCCGCAACGAGCGCAACCCUUAUCCUUUGUUGCCAGCACGUAAUGGUGGGAACUCAAAGGAGACUGCCGGUGAUAAACCGGAGGAAGGUGGGGAUGACGUCAAGUCAUCAUGGCCCUUACGAGUAGGGCUACACACGUGCUACAAUGGCAUAUACAAAGAGAAGCGAACUCGCGAGAGCAAGCGGACCUCAUAAAGUAUGUCGGAGUCCGGAUUGGAGUCUGCAACUCGACUCCAUGAAGUCGGAAUCGCUAGUAAUCGUAGAUCAGAAUGCUACGGUGAAUACGUUCCCGGGCCUUGUACACACCGCCCGUCACACCAUGGGAGUGGGUUGCAAAAGAAGUAGGUAGCUUAACCUUCGGGAGGGCGCUUACCACUUUGUGAUUCAUGACUGGGGUGAAGUCGUAACAAGGUAACC